UGGGGGAUAUUGCACAAUGGGCGAAAGCCUGAUGCAGCGACGCCGCGUGGGGGAUGAAGGCUUUCGGGUUGUAAACCUCUUUCGCUAUCGAACAAGGCCCGCUUAGGGUGGGUUGAGGGUAGGUGGAGAAGAAGCGCCGGCUAACUACGUGCCAGCAGCCGCGGUAAUACGGAGGGCGCGAGCGUUGUCCGGAAUUAUUGGGCGUAAAGGGCUUGUAGGCGGCUUGUUGCGCCUGCUGUGAAAACGCGGGGCUUAACUUCGCGCGUGCAGUGGGUACGGGCAGGCUUGAGUGUGGUAGGGGUGACUGGAAUUCCAGGUGUAGCGGUGGAAUGCGCAGAUAUCUGGAGGAACACCGAUGUCGAAGGCAGGUCACUGGGCCAUUACUGACGCUGAGGAGCGAAAGCAUGGGUAGCGAACAGG
rnacentral:rRNA from 1 species